GGGAAAGUAGCAAAGAUGGUCUAUGCAGAGGACUGAAAAUCCUUGGAUGUAAGUUCGAUUCUUACCUUUCCCAC
rnacentral:tRNA from 1 species